UCUGCACCUGGACCAGCUAUGGACAAAUGUUCCCUGCAUGCAAGUGAACAGCCAAGCUCUAGAGUGCCAGACACCAUGACCUCAAUGGCCGGGCCCACCAGGAAAACCCAGACCCUCCAGUUGGAGCGCUCCAUGGACCCCAAGACUGCGGCCCCUCCCCGGCUCUGCUGUAUCAGCUGAGUAAUCUCCCUGCACAUUCUGACACACAGCUGCAAGAAAUGAAGCCUGUGCUGUUGAUAGAUGAAACUUUGGGAAACAUGGUACUGAGGACAACUGGAGAGAGAGAGAGACCGGGCAGAUCAGACACCGGCGAGAGGCGGCAUCGCGGGGUCGAGCACUGGAGGGAGGUCUGUGACCUCAGCGGGGGUGUGGACAUCUGAAAUCGACUUCAGAGGCAAAGCACCAC